AAAUCGAUAGCUCGUAUGGUUAUGAAGGAUUUCCUCGAACAGACCUGUGAAGGACGUCACUUUACGGAACUGGGACUCUACUACAUCCGAUCAUUUUGUGGACAAUCCCGACGGACCGGGUAUGAAUCUCCUCCCUGAGCCUCCUCCCUGGAGCCUCCUCCCUGGAGCCUCCUCCCUGAGUCUCCUCCCUGGAGCCUCCUCUCUGGAGCCUCCUCCCCACACUACCACACUUCUGCUGCUGCUGCUGCUGCCGGCUCCGGCAGGACGGGAUUUAUCGAUCCGAGCCUAUACACCUGUUCGUUCAGUGGGACCAACUUUCCUCCGCUCAGAAGGAGGCCUGACGUCAAGUCAGUUACCUGGACGUUCUGAUCCUCACGACACAGAGUGUUGAGGACGAGGUGGUUUGGAGGACGUGGAGGUGUGGAGGACAUGGAGGUAUCCAGGAGGUGUGCAGGGUAUGGAGGUAUCCAGGAGGUAUCCAGGAGGUAUCCAGGAGGUAUCCAGGGGGUAUCCAGGAGGUGUGCAGGGUAUGGAGAUAUCCAGGAGGUGUCCAGGAGGCUCGAAUGCGAUGGGAGGCUGAUCCUGUCUUUGGUUAUCUAGCUGUAUGAGUGUUAAGCCUCCUUCAUAAAGCUAGCUAACCGAAAGUAGGACUGGCCUCCAAAGCCUCCCCCCUCUGGCCUCUGAGACCCCGACUGAGACCAGUGCCCGGGAAUAUUGUGUACAUGAAUAUCGUCUUCAUAACUACAUGCAUGGAGUAUAGAUUUGAUAUUGAGGAUCCAGUGUAGCCCUGCUACAAGGUAAGUAACAGUGUCCCCUGGGUGACCCGUGACCUCUGUACUUCCAAACAGAGGAUGUGCGAUUAGUGUCGCUGGCGUUGAAGAGCAGAGAACUGAACCAGAUGAACACUAACGGUAACAGAACCAUCUGAUCUGCAGAAAUCGCUCUUCACAUUAUAAACUAUGAUAUCUUAGGUUAAUAUGACAUGGGCCCAUUUAACUUCUAUUCUGACUCCUAACCCUCAACAGAGGAAGACCACUUUUAACUUAGAAAGAAUUCACAUGUUGUUAGGGGAUUUAAACUUUCCAAAGUGAGAGAAUGUUGAGCACAGUGUUGCUUUCGGAGAGAUUUAUCCUUUCUAUGAUUUUGGUAGCUGUUUUUUUUUUAAUACAAAAUCAAGCAGAGAAGAGCUCAGGAUAGUUCC